AAAAAAAUACCCUGAACAGUCAAUCAAUCAAUCAAUCAAUAAAAAGAAAGAAAAAUAAGUGAAGCACCUGAGCACAGCACACAAGACCCUUAGUAUUCUGGCCUUUGCUCUCUUGUUUCUCCUAGUUCAUGUUGCACAGGGCCCUUUAACAAUCCACAGUUCUCCUUUCUCACCUCUGCACUUUCAUGCACACUAAUCACUAAGCAUUUCUUUUUGUGUAGCAUGUGUGCCAAAACAGAACUUCCCCCGCUCAGUUCUGGGGAUCAAACCCAGGGCCUCAUGUAUGCCAGGCAAGCACUGGACCACUGAGCAACACCUGCAGGCCUCAGAGCCCUGAAAGCAGGGGUUUUGAUGAGUUGUUUGAUUAACAGUAUCAAAGCAGCCACAAUAUCAAAUCUCCACAAGGAAAUCUCUGUGUCAGAAUGCAAAACAACUUAUCUUCAAACCAGUGUGUCAAUUCGCCCUCUUUUCUCUCCUGUUCCCUCCCUGGCUAGGUUUUGAUGGCAAGGGAUUCUUCUAGCAUAAUGCAUGCAAUGCCACCAAGACCACACCACAGAGUGCAACCAUACUAACAAGAGAGAGGAGUUCUGUGCUAGCAUGCUCGUCUGGGCCUUUUUGCCCUCCGAACCACACCACCCUCCAGGGCUAUGCUUCAGCCCUGCCUGGAGCUCAUUCUGGGCAGUGGUGCAGGACAACAUAAUACACCCUGCUCAGAAAGAACGCGGAUCUGAUUGCUCAGGACCUGGACUCAGGACUGGCUGCCACCUAGAAAAGUUCUGGCAAUGCUGAUGCUGCUUAUCUGGAGACCACACUCUGAGACCCACGAACAGGAAGACGAAGAGCAGAAUGUCAGAGUCCAGGGCUGAGGACUGACACCAGGGCCUCAUGUGUGCCAGG